CCAGUAUCCAAAAUGGUUGUUACAAAAGCGUCAUAACUAUAAUGAUGUGCAAUAAAAUGUCUUAAUUACUUAAAAUAUCGUUCGGUCACAGAGAUUGUCCGACCCAUUAAGUGAAAUUGUCAGUCCGACGUAGAGAGGAAACUACCGGACAUUCUGUCAGACCUAAGUGAAACUGAGGUUUGUUGUUUGUCCGACCCGAGUGUAUUGGUGUCCGACAACUCUGUUG